CCCUUUUCCUUUAUCAUCAUCAUCAUUCUAUCCCCCCCGUGUCCCUCUCCGUCUUUGCUUUCCCUUGCUCUACCCUAACGGAGACGUGGAUUGUUGGAUGGAUACUGUAUGUCUAUGUAGGGACCCUCUUUUGUCCACACACUCCGGGUGGGUUAAAGCAUUUGGGUUCUUCCAUUGGAAGAGCAAAAGUUGUUCAGCCAGUGGUGAGUGGGGGAUAGGGUUCCCGUCCCCAGGCAUACUCAGGAACAUGGUAUUUGAGAAGGUAAUGGCAUUUCUAGUUCAGAUAUGAGUAGGGCACACCAUGGAUUUGGAGUUGUAAUCAAAGUACUCGCUUGAAGGGUUGAUCGAUGCUGGGGAAAGUGAAAAGUUGAAUACUUUCACCCACCAAACAGUUGAAAUGAAUAAUUCAGAUUCAAUGCAUACCUCUGCCUAGGCCAACUAUCAAAGAUCACAAGCAAUUCUUCUUUGUCAAUUCGUUUCCAAGGAAAAGAGGUUUUUGCAUAUUUGUCACUCGGAUAUGUGCUAAUCCUGUAAACCUACAUGAUAUGAUCCAAAAUAUAUUUCAUGUAGGGCUGAAAUUGCUGUUGUCGUGGUGGUAAUUCUACUUUCUUCUUUCCUUUGUAUUUUUCGAGAUCAAAUGUUAAGCAUUAAGGACAUUGCUAGCAAGGCCAAUAUAUUUAUCGGCUAUGGAGUAAGACAUUACCAUUAUCAGUCAAGAUCUUUACUAGAUGAGGUACGUGACACCUACAAAUUACUUAUCUUUAUCCAAUCCAAGAUUCUUUCACCUUAAAUGUGAUGCUUCACAUGUAGCAUCUUGUUUGAUA